AUGCAUGUCUCAGUACAAGCCGUCCCGUACGGUGAAACCGCGAAAGGCUCAUUAAAUCAGUUAUGGUUCCUUAGAUCGUACCCACGUUACAUGGAUAACUGUGGUAAUUCUAGAGCUAAUACAUGCCGACAGAGUUCCGACCAGCGUGUCGGCUUCGGCGGUUCGCCCGUCGUCGUCGGCCGUUCGGAAGGAGCGCUUUUAUUAGAUCAAAACCGGCCAAGCGUCUCGAUCGCGCUUCGCGCGCGUUCGGGCGUAAGCGGCCCGCGCAAAGACUUGACGACUCUGAAUAACUUCGAGCUGAUCGCACGGUCCUAGUACCGGCGACGUAUCUUUCAAAUGUCUGCCUUAUCAACUGUCGACGGUAGGUUCUACGCCUACCGUGGUGGUAACGGGUAACGGGGAAUCAGGGUUCGAUUCCGGAGAGGGAGCCUGAGAAACGGCUACCACAUCCAAGGAAGGCAGCAGGCGCGCAAAUUAUCCACUCCU
rnacentral:rRNA from 1 species